UAGAAAGCAAGAAAUCAUUUCUUCAGCUGUUCAGUGAGAAUUGCCAUGUACAGCAGUCUACCUUCUCUGAGGAGCACCUUACUGCAAAUCUUGGCAAUGCUAAUCCUGGACAAAAAGACAGCGCAAAGCAGAAAAUAUUCAGGAGAAUGGGCUGAGUUCAUCUCACUCCUGGUGCCCACCAUGGAGUAUGUGCACUGUUUGUAGAAGGACUGUCUCUUCUCUCCUCAUUCAACAAUAUUCAAUGAAGAAAACUCCUGAUAUGAAAAAGAAUUCUCUCUGUGAGUAUGGAAUCCAGCAUCGGUUUUCUUGCUACGAUAGCCCAAGACAAAUGAUUACACAGAUGAUUUGUUUAAUUGACCAAGUCAGAGAGCAGUCAGCUUUGAAGAAAAAUCAUCUUGGAAAGUUUAUUAUGCCCAGUUGGAAAUAAUAAGCGAAAUGAACUUUUGGACUGAAGGAAAGUGAGCACCAUUGCUUGCUGCUAGUAUGAAGACGUGGACAUAUUUUGCCCCGCAAUUUGUCACAUAAAGACAGGACAGUGUUUUCAGGCAUUAGCAACAGCUACAUUAUCUUGGCAUUCUGGAGCUGGGCAUGAAAUUAAAUUGGCAGAGCUACAGGAAAAUUGAAGCAUCUGUACCAGAACUGUCUGAAGAGACCACUGAAAAAUAGUAUGUCAAGCACAUCUGAAUUUUUCUAAAUC